GUGAGGAAUAUUGGUCAAUGGACGCAAGUCUGAACCAGCCAUGCCGCGUGAAGGAUGAAGGCGUUCUGCGUUGUAAACUUCUUUUAUCUGGGAAGAAACCACAGAUUUCUAUUUGUGUUGACGGUACCAGAGGAAUAAGCACCGGCUAACUCCGUGCCAGCAGCCGCGGUAAUACGGAGGGUGCAAGCGUUAUCCGGAUUUACUGGGUUUAAAGGGUGUGUAGGCGGGCCUUUAAGUCUGGGGUGAAAUCUCCGAGCUCAACUCGGAAACUGCCCUGGAUACUAUUGGCCUUGAAUUAUGUUGAGGUUGGCGGAAUAUAACAUGUAGCGGUGAAAUGCAUAGAUAUGUUAUAGAACACCGAUUGCGAAGGCAGCUAACUAAGCAUAUAUUGACGCUGAGGCACGAAAGCGUGGGGAUCAAACAGG
rnacentral:rRNA from 1 species